rnacentral:lncRNA from 1 species
GAUCCGAAAUCGCCCCGUUCCACCUCUCAGAUCAGGUUCGUGUCGUCUUCUGCUGCUGGAAAACCACCUCAACGAUCGUUUCCCGGCCCCAUGACUCCAGAUUCGCCUUCGCCGAUCCAAGUCGUUUCGACGUUCGCGUCGCCGUUCGAUGAGUCUCCCCCGCACAUCGACGCGAGCUCGUCGAUCAGGAAGCCGCUUAGCUUGUGGCCGGGGAUGUACCACUCCCCGGUGACCAAUGCUCUCUGGGAAGCGCGUUCGAGCAUCUUUGAGAGGCUUCUUGACCCUUCCAAGGAAGGGCCGCCGCAGUCGGAGUUGCUGACGAGGACGCCAUCACAGAGCAGGACGAACAUCAUCUACAACUUUUCGAGUGAUUACAUCCUGAGGGAGCAGUACCGAGAUCCAUGGAAUGAGGUCAGGAUCGGGAAGUUGCUUGAGGAUCUCGACGCACUUGCCGGCACCAUUUCUGUGAAGGUAGCCACUAGACUCGAGUCUCUAUGGAUAUCUGGUUAUCCUCUAUACUUGAAAUGAAGCUUGACAUCGAUAAGAAGAAUACCAAGUGUAUCCAUUGCCCCAUCUAAGUUUCACUUGAGGUUUGGGUACUUUGUCAUCAGCAGAAUUAACUUUUUCUUAGUGUUUAGAAACUAUUAUGAUGUUUCAUGGUAAAAUGGAUAAAUAAACCAUAGACAGACUUUUAUAUUUGUUCAUUGGCAGGCAAAAUCGUUAUCGAUUCAGUUUCUUUCUGUGAGUAGAAACCAGAAAACACUUGGAAAUACAUUAUUAGUGUUUGCUUCCAUCUUUUUUGCUUCAUGGUAAAAUGGCUAAUCCUUUUUUGCUUCCAACUUCCAAGUAAAUGAAGCUACACAAAACACUUAGAAAUGCAUUAUAAGUCCUACUUUGAUGGUUAACUCACCCAUUACGAUGUGUCAUGAUAUUAGACAAACGCUGCUGUGAGAGUUGCUAGUUACAAGGAUUGUUGUAUAAUUGUCAUUUCAAGUCUACCUUUCAGUAUGAUGGAAUUUUAUAUAGUAAAGGAAUAUAAUUUACUGUAUCUCUUUCUGUAAUCCUGGUGUGGUUGAGGAAAUUUUAUGGAAAACUAUAUGGCUUGCUGUGUAACAAUUCAGAAUGCAACAUUUGAUUAAAGAGCUUUGUAAAUUAAACAAGAUCUUCCGAUGUGCUUCUUGGAUAUAGAAUUGUUAUACUAUUAUUUACAUCAUGCCAAACUUGUUGGUCAUUUCUGUGAAGUUUUUGAAAGUUUGAUUUUAUCUGAAACAAUGCAUUUAUAUGUAAGUUUUUGAAGUGCAUUUGUUGCAUGUGGCCAGCACUGCUCUGAUGAUGACAGCACCACAAGGCCCCUCUUGUUGGUCACUGCCUCGGUAGAUAAGAUGGUUCUAAAGAAGCCAUUGCGUGUAGACACUGACCUAAAGAUAGCAGGUGCCGUCACAUGGGCUGGUCGAUCAUCCAUUGAGAUACAGAUUGAAGUUACCCAGACUCAUCAACAAGGUAUUUGGAAUGAUUCUGUUUGAUAAGCAAAUGGAAAUAUACAUUUGUAGUCUCAUUUCUUUAUGGGCAUUUAUUGGUCUUGUAGUAUGUCCUCUAGUAAUUGUAUGGGAAUAUAUAUAAUUAGGGAGGCUCAUCGCUAGCCAUAAUCAUGAACUCCUCACUUUUUUUUGUUCACUAUCUGAAGUUACAAACUCCGGCAAUUAUCUGUCCACGAGUUCCCAUAUCUUUAUAAUGAUAGACCCAGUAGCUUGCUGCCCAUUUCCAGUGCAGUCUGAAAAACAAAAAUUUAUAAUCUCGUAUCUCAUGAGUACUUAUUUGCUUAAAACUUUGUUCUUCAAAUUUAUGCAGGUAUCAAGCAUGUUUAGUGCACUAAAUCACCCUGCCUUUCCUCUGCUGACUUUCAUUAUGGUGCACUGUGCAGCAGAUAACUCUGAAUCAUCAGAUCCAUCGGCUUUGACAGCAACUUUCAUAUUCGUUGCACGGGACUCGAAGACUGGAAAGUCAGCUCCUGUAAACCGCCUUUUACCGGAAACUGAACAAGAAAAGUUGCUCUUUAAAGAAGCAGAAGCAAGGGAUAAAAUUCGAAAAGGCAAACGAGAGGAACAGAAAAGAACUUUUGAGAAUGGUGGGCAUAGUUUACAUGGUGAUAUAAAGAGGCUAAAGACAUUGUUGGCAGAGGGGCGUGUGUUCUGUGAUUUGCCUGCAUUAGCAGCUAGAGACAGCAUUCUGAUAAGGGAUACCAAACUUGAGAAUUCACUGAUCUGCCAACCUCAACAAAGGAAUCUCCAUGGUCGUAUUUUUGGCGGGUUUCUGAUGAACCUAGCAUUUGAACUUGCAUUUUCGACUGCUUAUGCAUUUGUUGGGCAGAUGCCAUGCUUUCUUGAAGUGGAUCAUGUUGAUUUCUUAAAACCUGUGAGUAGCAAGUCUUACAUCUUUACUGAAUCUGAUAUUUUUUCUUUGUGUACGUUAUCAAACUUUUUUCCCUUUCACUUCAACAUAACCAAGGAACAUCUCACUCACGAUGGAUGUAUACAGUGAAUCUUAUACCUGUUAUCUGUCUAAUAUUUGAGCACUCGACACUAGCUGUAUGUGUAUGCAUGACACUAUAUGUAUACAUAGAUCAAAAUUUUGCUACACUGGAAAUGACAUGUUCAUAGCAUAAUCAUUUAUUACACUUACUCAGGUUGACGUGGGGGACUUCCUUCGACUUAAAUCUUGUGUUCUUUAUACACAACUAGAGAACCCAGCACAGCCUCUGAUCAACGUUGAAGUUGUUGCUCAUGUAACGAGACCUGAGCUUCGAACCAGUGAGGUAAGACAAUCGAAGAAGCAUGUGAUUUGUAGUAUUCAAUUGCAACUUGAAUUCAUGAGUAGCGUCACCUUGUCUGUGUGCCUGAUGCAGAUAUCAAACAUGUUCUACUUCACUUUUACUGUAAAUCCUGAUGCCCUAAAGAAUGGACUAAAGAUUCGCAAUGUAGUUCCUGCCACAGAAGAAGAAGCCCGUCGUGUACUUGAGCGAAUGGAUGCGGAGGAAAUAUUUGCUUAACUAUAUACAUAGGCAUGUGCCAUUUGAAUGGCCAGACUGUCUUCUGCCAGUUCACAUCCAUAUAAUUUAUGCAAUAAGAUUGAACACCAUUUAGGAAUGUCACUGUCUUUACAUAAUUCGACAGCAACUUAUAAGGCUUUGUUACGUAUAAACAUUUUUGCCGCAACUUUUUUCCGAAUAAAAUUUGUAAAAGCAAGGAAGUAGUUUCUGAAAUCAAGUUUAAUUACCCCUUGUUUCCUGUUGGCAAACUUGUUUGCUGUGACCUAUGGGAUGCAAGAUUCAAGGAAAAUUAAUCGCCUCAUUCUCAGUAUUAUUUAUCAAUGUAUUUGGUGUUGUUUAUUGUUCUUUGUGUGUCAUGAUUCUUCUUUUAGUGUUUUGUAAAUGAGAAAUCUAUCAAUUAGGAGAUCUGCAGCUGCUGCUUCUGCUGCCAAUUAGAGGGGGUAUGACUCCUAUUUUCAGCAUUGGUGAGAAUCUCUGCUGCUAUGUAGCCUACCAGAUGCUCUAGUCUUAACUGAUAGUUAACAGAUAUCAUGUCACCCCAUAAAAAUAUUCACAGUAUAUCAUUCAAGAUCAUGUAAAAGACUAAUAAAUAAACUUAGUAAAUCUGGAUGUUAUUGAAGUUAAUCAUCAUAUUUCACCUGUCUGAAGCUAUAAAAAAGUUCUACAUCUCAUUCACUGCAGAAUUGUAGAUGCAUAAUUAUAGUAACAUCUUAUUUAAAAUCCUUAAGGGACAAAGUGUUAGGAUUCAAUAAGAAUACAUACAAUGAAUCUAUUUGCACAUUAAUUUCUGUUAGUACUGUGUGUAUACCUCAUUAAAAGUAAGCUCUGAAGAACAGAUUCUCAAAACUCAGUGAAGCCACUCUUUAUUUUUCUAGAUACAGAUCGGAGCAAAAUAGUUUUGUAUCAAAACGUCAACCCCUUGAGCGGAGAAAUAUAAUAUCUUGAUUUAGUCUGAAAUGUGGGUAAAGAAUUAGACUGAUUCAUCGGUGCAUUACUGUUAGCAUGAGUUUAAACAUUUUACACCAAUAAUCUAAAAAUAAAUUAAUAAUCAUUAUUAUUGUAAUUGAAUCAAGUUGCUAAUUAAGCAAACAAGAUGAGCUAACAAUGGCUUGGCAGGAUGUUCUAAGCUUCCAAUUAGAAUGGCAAUGGUUUGGUUUAGCCAAAUAGUAAACAAAUGGAAAAGGUUAAUCUUCUUCAAACAAAGUCAAAGUCAAAGUCCAACUAAGUGGGUGUGUUUAAAUUAUUAUUUUUAUCAAUUUUAAAGACCUCAACAAAUUUAAUUGAUCAAUGUUUUAACAUGAAUUUCAUCUUUAUCAUUUAUUCUUUAUAAAUAAUAAUAAAAAUUUUUAACUUGAUGAAUCAUAUCGUGAAGAUUCUUUUAAGGUAAAUUAAUUGAUCAAAUGAAACCAUACAUAAUGAAAGCAAAUAUAUGUUAAUGGUGAAAGCAUAAUGUUGGCAAAUCUUAAAUGUUUGAAUGGAGCAAGUAAUAAAUUAAAAGCUAAUUUGGCCAAUAAUCAUAAAACUACAACAUUUGGGUGUUGCAAUCUUCUUCGCCAACCAACCAUUACUUGUCCUAACUUUGCUCAAUGGUUGGUUCCACAGUUGUCUCCUAUUCCUCCCACUGCACGAUGUAACCUUCCCUCUCACCUCCUCAUCUCUCUCACCACAGUUUUCUUCACCCAAAGCAAACCCUCAGCCUCACAUCACUCUCACUUUCCAUCUUCAACUCAACAUCCUCCGAAUCCCUCACCCAUUCUUCCAUUAUCCCCAUCCAAAGUCUUCCCCAAAUCCCCCUUUUCACCCCCAAUUCUUCACCAAGAUCGGAUCUUUCUGCCCCCAAACCGCUCUGUUCUUCCUCCCAAUCCGAAUUCUUGUCUGCGACAAUUGAUCCCGAGAUGGCGUCUUUUCAAUCCGAAUGCAGCGAGACCAGCUCGAGCUCUUGAAAGAUCGAAUCUUUUCGAUCCGAAAUCGCCCCGUUCCACCUCUCAAAUCAGGUUCAUGUCGUCUUCUGCUGCCGGAAAACCGCCUCAAGGAUCGUCUCCCGCCGCCAUUAGUCCAGAUUCGCCUUCGCCGAUCCAAGUCGUUUCGACGUUCGCAUUGCCGUUCGAUGAGUCUCCCGCCUCACAUCGAUGCGAGCUCGUCGAUCAGGAAGCCGCUUAGCUUGUGGUCGGGACUGUACCAUUCCCCGGUGACCAAUGCUCUCUGGGAGGCGCGUUCCGAGGACGGGGCGCAGUCGGAGUUGCUCACGAGGCCACCACCAUAGAGC